rnacentral:rRNA from 1 species
UGCAGUCGAGGGGCAGCAUGAGGUAGCAAUACCUUGAUGGCGACCGGCGCACGGGUGAGUAACGCGUAUGCAACCUGCCCGAUACCGGGGUAUAGCCCAUGGAAACGUGGAUUAACACCCCAUAGUACUUUUAUCCUGCCUGGGAUGGGAGUUAAAUGUUCAAGGUAUCGGAUGGGCAUGCGUCCUAUUAGUUAGUUGGCGGGGUAACAGCCCACCAAGACGAUGAUAGGUAGGGGUUCUGAGAGGAAGGUCCCCCACAUUGGAACUGAGACACGGUCCAAACUCCUACGGGAGGCAGCAGUGAGGAAUAUUGGUCAAUGGACGUAGGUCUGAACCAGCCAAGUCGCGUGAGGGAAGACUGCCCUAUGGGUUGUAAACCUCUUUUAUAAGGGAAGAAUAAGUUCUACGUGUAGAAUGAUGCCUGUACCUUAUGAAUAAGCAUCGGCUAACUCCGUGCCAGCAGCCGCGGUAAUACGGAGGAUGCGAGCGUUAUCCGGAUUUAUUGGGUUUAAAGGGUGCGUAGGCGGUUUAUUAAGUUAGUGGUUAAAUAUUUGAGCUAAACUCAAUUGUGCCAUUAAUACUGGUGAACUGGAGUACAGACGAGGUAGGCGGAAUAAGUUAAGUAGCGGUGAAAUGCAUAGAUAUAACUUAGAACUCCGAUAGCGAAGGCAGCUUACCAGACUGUAACUGACGCUGAUGCACGAGAGCGUGGGUAGCGAACAGGAUUAGAUACCCUGGUAGUCCACGCCGUAAACGAUGCUCACUGGUUCUGUGCGAUAUAUUGUACGGGAUUAAGCGAAAGUAUUAAGUGAGCCACCUGGGGAGUACGUCGG